GAUGAACGCUAGCUACAGGCUUAACACAUGCAAGUCGAGGGGAAACGAUAUUGGAAGCUUGCUUCCGAUAGGCGUCGACCGGCGCACGGGUGAGUAACGCGUAUCCAACCUGCCCAUCACUUGGGGAUAACCUUGCGAAAGUAAGACUAAUACCCAAUGACGUCUCUAGAAGACAUCUGAAGGAGAUUAAAGAUUUAUCGGUGAUGGAUGGGGAUGCGUCUGAUUAGCUUGUUGGCGGGGUAACGGCCCACCAAGGCGACGAUCAGUAGGGGUUCUGAGAGGAAGGUCCCCCACAUUGGAACUGAGACACGGUCCAAACUCCUACGGGAGGCAGCAGUGAGGAAUAUUGGUCAAUGGGCGAGAGCCUGAACCAGCCAAGUAGCGUGCAGGAUGACGGCCCUAUGGGUUGUAAACUGCUUUUAUAAGGGAUAAAGUGGGAGUCGUGACUCUUUUUGCAUGUACCUUAUGAAUAAGGACCGGCUAAUUCCGUGCCAGCAGCCGACGG
rnacentral:rRNA from 1 species